AUUGAACGCUGGCGGCAUGCCUUACACAUGCAAGUCGAACGGCAGCACGGGUGCUUGCACCUGGUGGCGAGUGGCGAACGGGUGAGUAAUACAUCGGAACGUACCUUAUCGUGGGGGAUAACGCAGCGAAAGCUGUGCUAAUACCGCAUACGCCCUGAGGGGGAAAGCGGGGGAUCGCAAGACCUCGCGCGAUUAGAGCGGCCGAUGCCUGAUUAGCUUGUUGGUGGGGUAAAAGCCCACCAAGGCGACGAUCAGUAGCUGGUCUGAGAGGACGAUCAGCCACACUGGGACUGAGACACGGCCCAGAGUCCUACGGGAGGCAGGAGUGGGGAAUUGUGGACAAUGGGGGCAACCCUGAGCCGGCAAGGCCGCGUGAGUGAAGAAGGCCUUCGGGUUGUAAAGCGCUUUUGUCAGGGAAGAAACACCGGCUCUAACACAGUCUGGGAAUGACGGUACCUGAAGAAUAAGCACCGGCUAACUACGUGCCAGCCGCCGCGGUAA
rnacentral:rRNA from 1 species